rnacentral:rRNA from 1 species
UACGUAGGGUGCAAGCGUUAUCCGGAAUUAUUGGGCGUAAAGAGCUCGUAGGCGGUUUGUCGCGUCUGCUGUGAAAACUGGAGGCUCAACCUCCAGCCUGCAGUGGGUACGGGCAGACUAGAGUGCGGUAGGGGAGAUUGGAAUUCCUGGUGUAGCGGUGGAAUGCGCAGAUAUCAGGAAGAACACCCGUGGCUAAGGCGGCUCUCUAGUACGGUACUGACGCUGAGACGCGAAAAGCGUGGGGGAGCGAACAGG